GAUGAACGCUAGCUACAGGCUUAACACAUGCAAGUCGAGGGGAAACGACAUCGAAAGCUUGCUUUUGAUGGGCGUCGACCGGCGCACGGGUGAGUAACGCGUAUCCAACCUGCCCACCACUUGGGGAUAACCUUGCGAAAGUAAGACUAAUACCCAAUGAUAUCUCUAGAAGACAUCUGAAAGAGAUUAAAGAUUUAUCGGUGAUGGAUGGGGAUGCGUCUGAUUAGCUUGUUGGCGGGGUAACGGCCCACCAAGGCAACGAUCAGUAGGGGUUCUGAGAGGAAGGUCCCCCACAUUGGAACUGAGACACGGUCCAAACUCCUACGGGAGGCAGCAGUGAGGAAUAUUGGUCAAUGGACGAGAGUCUGAACCAGCCAAGUAGCGUGCAGGAAGACGGCCCUAUGGGUUGUAAACUGCUUUUAUAAGGGAAUAAAGUGAGUCUCGUGAGACUUUUUGCAUGUACCUUAUGAAUAAGGACCGGCCAAUUCCGUG
rnacentral:rRNA from 1 species